rnacentral:rRNA from 1 species
GUCAUACCAUGCUGAAUAUACCGGUUCUCGUUAGAUCACCGAAGUCAAGCAUCAUUGGGCGCGGUCAGUACUUGGGUGGGUGACCACCUGGGAACACCGCGUGCCGUU